AUACGUAGGGGGCAAGCGUUAUCCGGAUUCAUUGGGCGUAAAGCGCGCGUAGGCGGCUUGUUAAGCGAGGAGUGAAAUCUGGGGGCUCAACCCGCAGACUGCUUCUCGAACCGACAGGCUUGAGUCUGGUAGAGGAAAGUGGAAUUCCUGGUGUAGCGGUGAAAUGCGCAGAUAUCAGGAGGAACACCAGUGGCGAAGGCGACGAUCUGGCCUGCAACUGACGCUCAGUCCCGAAAGCGUGGGGAGCAAACAGGAUUAGAUACCCUGGUAGUCCACGCUGUAAACGAUGAUUACUAGGUGUGGGGGGACUGACCCCUUCCGUGCCGCAGUUAACACAAUAAGUAAUCCACCUGGGGAGUACGGCCGCAAGGUUGAAACUCAAAUGAAUUGACGGGG
rnacentral:rRNA from 1 species